rnacentral:rRNA from 1 species
GCUUAGAAGCAGCCACCCUUGAAAGAGUGCGUAAUAGCUCACUGGUCAAGUGAUUCCGCGCCGACAAUGUAGCGGGGCUCAAGCAUACCGCCGAAGUUGUGGCAUUUAUGCAAUAUCUCGGCCUGUUUACAGGUCCAGGAGCAUGGAUGGGUAGGGGAGCGUCGUGUGGCGAGCGAAGCGGCCGGGUAACCGAGCCGUGGAUGCCACACGAGUGAGAAUGCAGGCAUGAGUAGCGAAAGACGGGUGAGAAACCCGUCCGCCGAAUGACCAAGGGUUCCAGGGCCAGGCUAAUCCGCCCUGGGUAAGUCGGGACCUAAGACGAGGCCGACAGGCGUAGUCGAUGGACAACGGGUUGAUAUUCCCGUACCGGCUGUACCGCGACCCUGCCGAGGCAGAGGAUGCUAAGCGUCCGAAUCCGCUGCGACCUUCGGGUCAAGGUGGAGGAGCACGCGAACCGAAUCUGUAGUAGGCAAGCAAUGGGGUGACGCAGGAAGGUAGCUCAACCCGGGCGAUGGUUGUCCCGGGGUAAGGAUGUAGGGCGAGACGUAGGCAAAUCCGCGUCUCACAUGCCUGAGAUCUGACGCCGAGCCGAUUAAGGCGAAGUGAGUGAUCCUAUGCUGCCGAGAAAAGCCUCUAGCGAGUUGUACAGCCGCCCGUACCCCAAACCGACACAGGUGGUCAGGUAGAGAAUACCAAGGCGAUCGAGAGAACUGUGGUUAAGGAACUCGGCAAAAUACCCCCGUAACUUCGGGAGAAGGGGGGCCGAUUGAUGUGACGGGACUUGCUCCCUGAGCACCGGUUGGCCGCAGAGACCAGGCCCAAGCGACUGUUUACUAAAAACAUAGGUCCAUGCGAAGUCGCAAGACGAUGUAUAUGGACUGACGCCUGCCCGGUGCUGGAACGUUAAGGGGACGGGUUAGCGACUUCGGUCGCGAAGCUCAGAACUUAAGCGCCAGUAAACGGCGGUGGUAACUAUAACCAUCCUAAGGUAGCGAAAUUCCUUGUCGGGUAAGUUCCGACCUGCACGAAUGGCGUAACGACUUGGGCGCUGUCUCAACCACAGACUCGGCGAAAUUGCACUACGAGUAAAGAUGCUCGUUACGCGCGGCAGGACGGAAAGACCCCGGGACCUUUACUACAGCUUGGUAUUGGUGGUCGGUUCGAUUUGUGUAGGAUAGGUGGGAGACUAUGAAGCGUGGACGCCAGUCCAUGUGGAGUCAUCGUUGAAAUACCACUCUGAUCGUGCUGGCUGUCUAACUUAGGUCCGUGAUCCGGAUCAAGGACAGUGCCUGGUGGGUAGUUUAACUGGGGCGGUUGCCUCCUAAAAUGUAACGGAGGCGCUCAAAGGUUCCCUCAACCUGGUUGGCAAUCAGGUAUCGAGUGUAAAUGCACAAGGGAGCUUGACUGCGAGAGUGACGGCUCGAGCAGGGACGAAAGUCGGAAUUAGUGACCCGGCGCUGGCAUGUGGAAGCGGCGUCGCUCAACGGAUAAAAGGUACCCCGGGGAUAACAGGCUGAUCUUCCCCAAGAG